AACGCACAUUGCGCCUGCCAGCACUCUGGCAGGCAUGCCUGUCCGAGCGUCAUUUCAACCCUCAAGCCCUGGCCGCUUGGUGUUGGGGCGAAUCUGCGGCCCUGCCGCAGGCCCUGAAGACGAGUGGCGGACCCCUAAGGCACCCCAGCGUAGUACUUUUCUCAGCUCGGGGCUCCCUGUGGGCGUCUUGUCGACACUUAUACUGGUUGACACCUGUACUCUGGUUGACCUCGGAUCAGGUAGGAAUACCCGCUGAACUUAA
rnacentral:misc_RNA from 1 species